rnacentral:rRNA from 1 species
GAUUUCUGGCUUGAAACACUAAGCCGGCCACGGUUUCGUGUGUUAGUGCUUGGUGUUCUGGCCAUCCUUCCAAUCGCUGCGUACUUCUCUUCAUUGAUUAGUGCGUAGUAUUGGAUCUUUUACUUUGAAAAAAUUAGAGUGUUUCAAGCAGGCAUUUGCUAUGAAUACAUUAGCAUGGAAUAAUAAUUUAGGACUUUUGUUCUCUUUUGUUGGUUUCGCGAACGGAAGUAAUGAUUGAUAGGGAUAGUUGGGGGUGCUAGUAUUCAGUGGCCAGAGGUGAAAUUCUCGGAUUCACUGAAGACUAACUUAUGCGAAAGCAUU